rnacentral:misc_RNA from 1 species
CCAAGCCUCAGCUGCCGCCCCCUCUCUCUCUCUCUCUCUCGCUGAGCACAACUCCAUAACCAUAAUUUCAGCUCAGGCCGUAAACAAGCGUCUCUCGUCUCUUCAUCCAGGUAAAACUCUAUUCUCUUUCUACUUCAAUUCAAUUUACCUUUCGCUUAAUUUUAUCAUUGUUUCUCUCUUCUUGUUCAUAGUUCAGCACUUCAGCUUUCACGUCCUUUUCUUUUCUAGCUGUUAAAAUUUUUGUGGAUUUCUAGGAAUCUUAUCUCUUCCCUCUCGUCCUCCGUGUUUCUUUUUAAUGCUAUCAAGGGGGAAUUUACCAAAUUUGAAGUAAUUCCAUCAAAAUGUUUCAUGGAUUUUAUUUUUUAUUUAGUUUUGAAAGAUUGUUUCUUCACUCAAUCAAAUUGAGAUUGUUUAGUGAAUGGGUAUGUUGAGUGUUGCCAAGCAUACAACUGCUUUCUUAUCUUUUACUUUGUCGAAAUAGGAAUUGUCUUUUUCUUUGCCUGUUAGGUGUUAACCCCUAUCCUUUCUGGUCUUUUUCAACAAAACAGACUCGCCUUUAAUCAGACUAGUUGCAGAUGCUCAUCUCGUCCGCACUUCGCCGCAUGUAUACCUUCUGACUAUUGGUUUCUUAAUAUUCUCAGUAUGAACCAUAGCUUCUGUACUGUUCGUUCAGUUGUUCAGAUAGGUACUAGAAUGCCAUGUGAAUUACAAGGGAAGUAUGGGCCUUCUGUCUAGUGACUUACUGUAACGUUCUUCUAUCAAUUAUAUCUUUUUACACCGUUUCUUGAGAUCCCAUUUUCUACCGGGGAACUAUAGGAUGCACAUUUCCCUCAUGACUCUUUCAGCUAGGUUUGCUACUGUCUACUGAUGUAAUUUGAGUUUGAGGUGCUGGUGACAUGCUUGUCAUUGCUAGCACCUAGUGAAACUUAUAUAUGGAAAUCUAGCCAUAUAAUCAUUUUUGGGGAAUUUUAUAUAAUCCAUCCUUCCUUUGUUUGGUGAUUUGUUCCCUGGGAGAAACUCUAUCCUGGCUGGUCAACAGGUGUACUCGUAUAUCCCAUAAGAAGUUUCAUUUGGAUACUUUUAUUCAUUUUUUUUCAUUUUAAAUGAUUCUGGGGAUUGUUUCCUUUCAUUUUGUUCUUGUAGUAAAAUGGCUUUUCUUUCUAUUCCUUCUUGUUUAUAUAUGUGAAUGCUCUGGGUUUGGUUAUGCUAUUUUUUGCAGACUUCUAAUGACAAAUAAUGCCGAAAAUGAUGCUCUAGUAUUGGUUGAUAAUGCAUUUGGGAAGCUUCCUGAUCAUCUCCUGAUAGAAAUUUUCAUCAGAGUUCCCGUAUCAGAAUGGGCCCAAAUAUCAUGUGUUAAAAAGCAGUGGGCUAAUCUAUUUCGUGGAGAAUGCUUGUGGCAUGCUGCUCUUAACAGAACUUAUCCGUUUGCAGGCCAAGCUAAAAGAUGGCCUGGACCUAUACCUCGAGGGUUGAGCAGAAGGUAAGUUUAAUGACCUCCUAGCAUUUUCUUCGACGUCUUUCCCACUCUUUCACCAUUGGUUCAAUCACUGGGGACUCUGCCAAAACCUUGAUUUUUCAGGCAGCACAUACACUAUUUUGGCAGACCUAUAAUAUGGGAAUCUUCUUAUCCUUAAAUUAUUUAAAUAUGGACACUCAGUUUCUAUUUGACUCACUAAACUAUAUCUUAAGCUUAGAUAGAUUCCAAAUCUAGUGUCCAUUCUAUGUGGAAUGUAAAAGAAUUUCCUCGUUCAAACAUUAAUAAGGCUGGAAUGUUUUUAGAUUCCUUGUCUCAGAAAGCAAUAGGACCAGUUCUACUUAACUAAAUGAAUUUUUUUUUUUUAUGGUCAUUCUGAUGUUCUGAUUUUGAUCUAAGCUUUUCAGGAGAUACACAGCUUUAUAUGUUAGUAAACAGAUCUUUGCUCUGGAUGGUGAGAUAGAUGAGAUCGUGGGUCAUACCUAUUUGUUUCUCAAAGAGCAACUUGAACUUUCCACAAUGCCACCUCCGUCUGGCAUUCUUCAUGGAACCAUAAUAGAUCAAUUUAUUGCUUGUGGGAAAUCAAGAGACGCUGCCCAUGAGCUUGCUUCCCAGAUCUGGCUAACUGUUCUCGAUAAUUUGGAGGAAAAUGAGCACACGUUUCUCUUACUUAAACGCCUUGCACAAGAGGGCGAUGUUUUUCUUCCAUACCCGUACAUAAAAUCCAUUAAAGUACAAUGGAGGGUUUUUGAGAAGCUUUUCACUGAUUUCCGCGACUGUUUCAAUCAUGUAGAUUAUUAUGAUGUGCUGGCUUGUGCAAAGAACAAGUUCCAGCCGAUACCUUCUGCUUGGUUGGGUUACUAGAUGACUUACUACUCAAAUUCAUUUUCAGGACCACACUGUUUAUGUAUAUAUAAAUGCAACUGUUGCCGUAAGUCCUAUUAUUUCUCGUCUUAUAUCAUAAAAGGAACUGUAUAUUUUUGCGAUCGUUUUUGUUUCAUGCUUUCCCUUACCUGAAUGAAAUAACACAGUAAUAUGAUUUGAACCCUUUAUUACUGUAAAAAGUUUUUAACUGAUAUUUGUUUCACGUAAUAUGAUGGAAGCUUAUUAGUUUAUAGCUCACAUUCACUUCAAUUUACAGUGUGGAGCUUGAUACAUCACGA